GCAAACUUGACAGCAAUGUGGGAUGUGUGGCAGUCUAGGACAGGGGCAUAACCAUUACCAAUCUGUCCCGGGUGGUUCAUGAUAAUAACUUGAGCAGUGAAAUUACCGGCCUCACGGGCAGGAUCAUCCUUCGAGUUCGAGGCAACAAACCCCCGCUUGAGAUCCUUGACAGCAACAUUCUUGACAUUAAAGCCAACAUUGUCACCAGGUAAAGCCUCAAGAAGAGCCUCAUGGUGCAUCUCAACAGACUUGACU
rnacentral:misc_RNA from 1 species